CCCGCCUGUCCCCUUCCGCAGUGAGGCAAGGUCUGCGUAGGGAGGAGCGCCUGGAAGCCAGUGUCUGCGCGCAGCCAACUGUCCAGUGAAAAUGUGAACAACAGUGACCAGCGCUGAGAAGCACGUAGCGACGCCACCGCCCGCGCGGCGGGGUCCUCGCCGGCGAGCCCGAGUCGAGGGAGCAGCAGAUCCCAGGACCUUGUCACCAAAGGUCAGGAGCCUCCUGAGGACUGGGGACAGGCUGCCAGCUUGAGAAAGGCUACAUCAGCUCUGCUGACCCCAUGACUCCUCCAGACUGCCCUCCAGACAAGGCCCAGUUUAGCUUCCAUGACACCCACCUGCAUGGUGAGGCAUCUUCCCAGGCUCCACAGCUGGUACCCAGGGCUUGCACCUGUCUACCUCCUGCCACUUCUGGGAGCCCCAAGAGCCAGAAUGCCACAGUGACCUGAGGGUACCUGUGUGGACACUGGCCUCUAGAUGAAGCCUGACCUCUGCCUGACCCGGCACCCCUGGGUGUGGGGACCUUGGAUGUGGGCAUCAGGGGCCUUCCCAGGCAGAGGACACAAAGCUCAUGGCCACCCCCAUGCCAGGCCAGGCUGGCUGCACAGAGCUUGUGCCCGUUGAGGAAGGGGCCACCAGACUUUCUGAAGGGGGGCCACUUGCAGAUGUGAGACCCUUCUGAUGUGGACAGGGCUUCCACUGAUAGGGCUGAGGGUGGCCUGGGGCAACACUCAGGGAAGCUCCAUAAUGCAGGGCUGAGGAUUCCAAUCUGAGCUGGCUGGACAGGAAUCCCCCCACCACGUAGCCACUACUUGCACCUUGCUGAGCCUCAGGCUCCUCCUGUGACUGGGGCUAUAAGGGCUGAGCACAGCAGGUUCAGAGCCCAGCCUGCCAUGACUCCUUCAGGGAACAAGCGUUUCUGCCAUGCCCGUUGGUUCCUUUUCUGAGUAUCUCAGAUACUGACAAGAUCCCAAGCUGAUGCUGGAGCUCCAAGCCAGCUCCCACCUCUGCUCUGGUGGCCUGGGGAGAGAGGAGGCCCAAACUUGAGAACAAGCCCCAUCAGCCACAGGAUGCCCCUGAGAGCUGUUCUCAGCACUUUCCAGGGACACUCGGCAGGUGGUGUCUCAGAUGUCACAGACCUAGGGGGGCAGAGAACAGUGCUGUUGAUAUCCUCUGUAACUUGUCUCUCCCCAUUUAUGAGGCAACAGGGGAAAAUAACCCAAGUCCCCCGAGCCCAUUAUUCAGAUGGGCUUUGGGGUUCUGUUCAGUCUCUGUCUCUCUUGCCACCCCUACAAGAGGGCACCUGGGUGUGGAGGGGAGGGAGCUCAUGUGAACUCGAUGGGCUCGAAUAGCUCUUCAGGUCCCAAAGUCCUGCUCCUUGCUGUGCCUGGUGUGGACAGGCUGCCCUGGGCUCCUGGGGAGGCUGUGGCUGGAGCCUGGGCAUCCUAUUUGCACCUCAGCCGACACCGAGGCUGAGGAGAUUUCUAGAGCCAAGAAGGGCCUGGGAACUGGUAAGUCUGCCCACCUCAGCCUCAGGCUGCAGCCAGAAGACACAAGACUUCUGGGUCAGAGACAAAAGAUUCUAUUACAGCAGCAGUAAGUGCCCAGGCAUGAGCAAGUGUAUCUGCACCAGGUCAGCAGGAGCCACACAGAGGGCACCAGGUGGCAGCUGCGCACACAGCGGGUUACAUUACAGGUGACCUGCUCUGAGCUCAGGGGACUCAAAAAUUUUACCAUGAAGAAGAAACCCACCAUCUGCCCUGGAGGGAUAUCAUUUCAAGCUGACAUCCUUGAAGAGAUAGAGCCAGCUUGGGGAGGAGGCUCUGAGUUCUUGCUCACAGGCUAUGCAAGGACGCUAGCGCCCUCUCCCCGAAGGAAGCCGUGGACUCUCUUUCUGGACAUUUCUUUCCCACACCCCGUCCUGGCAGGCUGCCUUCCAAACUGCCUACUUGUCCCCUUAGCCUGGGUGGAGCUCCCAGCCCCCUCUUAGGUCUGUCCCUGGGCCCUAGCAGACCCAGGAUGGGUGCCCUGGAGGCUUAGAACCAUCGGCCACACUGCUGUGCCCUCUCACUUCCCAAGGGCCAUCUGGCAAACCAGCUUUCUGAACAUCAAGGCCCCAACUCUGGUGUUUGCAGAAGUCUGUGAAAGGGGUCACUGUGAUUGGGCAGGAAUCCUCCUCUGCCACCCUGUGCCCACCUCCUCCCGGCCAGGCAGAGGAGGGCUGUCCCCCUCCCCUAGGGUGAAUCCUAGACCACAUCACUCCUGGGCGGGCCCUGGGUAUGCCAAGUGGGAGCUAAGAGAGUUUAGGGAGUGUUCAGGACAGUCCUACAGCAAGCCUAUUGUCUGGCUGCAAAUCCUACUUACAGUGUCCUAAGUACUGAAGGUGCUUGUCUGACUGGGCACAUGGCUGCCUUGGGCCAAGUGAUGAAAAUAAAGGACAUGGACUUGGUGGUACAAGUGCUAGGCAAGGUCCCGGGUGCUCACAGCCCAUGAGGAUGGUGCCGUCCUUGUCCCAUGCUGCAGAGGAAGGUGCUGGGCUCAGGAGGCCAAGUAACUGCCCAAGUGAGCAUCCUUGGACAGUGAAUGGGGGCCGAGACCUCACCAAGCCAGCUUCAGAGCCUGCGCUUCUAGUGCCCAUGCAAGAGAAGCUGUGCUAGAGAGAUGCGUGCUCACGCCCUAUGGUCACUUUCAUUAUGCUAGCAGCCCUGAUGCCCGGCUGUAGCUAUCUCCAAUGCCCUGCACCAUGUGCCCUCAGCCUGCCAUUGGCUCCGCAGCAGCUGGGCAACGGCCAUGAACCCACUGGCAGCCUCUCACCCAGACGCCCCUCACCUGCUGCUGUUCCGCCCAUGUGCACGGUGGCCUAGGGGGGUAGCACCCCUGGGCACCACCCUCACCAAUGCGGAGGGGACCUGGGGAGGCACACCCGGCACCCCAUCCUUAGAAAGACAGUUCUGAGGGGCAUUCCAUGUGGUUCCUCAGUGGGCACAGAUGUCACUGGCUUUUCCUCUUUCCUGCCUCAUUCUGCACAUCUCCCGGUUACUUCCCAGAUUAACUGCAUGCACUGAAGUCCUUAGACCAGGCUAAGAUAGUCCUGGAAGUAUCCUUAAAAAGCAGACUCUGGGGAUGGGUGUGGCAUCAGGUCACCCACGAGGACAAUGACAAGAUGGUCUGCUGGCAGAACAUGGGGGAGAUGACCAGCCCCGAGGUUGAGGAGCUGGAGCUGAGGCUGAGUCGGGGCAUGCUGAGAAAGCCAGAAAUUUCUCUAGGACAGUGCCUAGAGACCCUCACCUCCUGCAGACAGAGGGUACAGACAGGUGCUGGAAGCCAACCCCCCGAGAAGACUGAACAUGCAGCCAAGAAAAAUCUCCUACACUGAGAUUAGGGCCUCGUAGGGAGCGUGCAGGACCUGAGACCUGGUACGGGGUCAGUGAGUGAACUUGCCGUCUUGUGCUCCAGAUUAUACCCCACGUGUUAAAGAGUGCAGAGGAGGUAUCCCUACCUGGAGUCCCUGGAAAGACCUAUCUGAGGCACACCUUGCAAGGUGACGCUCCUCUUAGAGAGGAGGCCUUAAUCUCGGCGUAAGAGAUUUUUCUUGGCUGCAUAUUCAGUCUUCUUGGGGGUUUGGCUUCCAGCACCUCUGCCCUCUGUCGGCAGGAGGUGAGGAUCUCUAAGCACUGUCCUAAAGAAAUUUCUGGCUUUCUCAGAGUCUCACUCUGUUCUCCUGAUUAGAUAGAGCACUGUGGUGUUGUAGCUCACAGCAACCUCACACUCCGGGGCUCAAGCAAUCCUCUUGCCCUAGCCUCCCAAGUAGCUGAGACUACAAGCACCUGACACAACAUCCAGCUAGUUUUUCUAUUUUCAAAAGCAAGAGACGGGAUCUUGCUUUUGCUCAGGCUGGUUUCAAACUCCUGAGCUCAGGUAAUCUAAGUGCCUCGGCCUCCCAGAGUGCUGGGAUUACAGGCUGUAGCCACCGUGCCCGGCCCACACUGUGAUUUUGGUCUUUUGGCCUCCAGCCUGGAAGAGAAUUGAUUUCUGCCAUUUUAAGUUUCCCAGUUUGUGGUGCUUUGCCAUGGCUCCCUGAGGAAACAGGGACCACCACCACCCCCAGCCCCAAACUACCUCCCAGCACCCACAUGGCUGCCUCAGGCUCUGCUCGUGAGGAAGCCAAAGAGGACCCCCCCGCCAGGGCCAGGACAGACCCAAGCCCCCUCCCCCUGACAGCAGCCCCUCUUGCCUCCACCACCAGCUUCCAGCCCAAGGAGUAUUUACGAGUCUCUACACAGGACACACUGUGCAGCCUUCCACAGACCAGGAAGGCACCAGCCCCUGGAGACUUCUCCCUGCUGGGAUAAAAAGCUGGUGACGUCUGCACCAUGGGGGUGCCUCUCUGCCCACCAACUUCCAUGGGACGUGCCUCUUAGUGGGAUCUCUGAACCCCUCCCCAAGUGGGCUUCUCCCAACUGUGUACUUUGACCUGCCCCAGCCCUCAGUCUCUUCCUGCCAUCUCUACCGGAAUAAAGGCAGGGUUUGAAAAGCUUCAGCCCUCCCAUCCUUUCUUCCCCAGCCCUGCAAAUAUGUGGGCAGGAGCAGCAGCAGCAGGGGGAGGGUGUGAUUGCUGUGCUCGGGUGGGCCCGGCUGCGUGGGUGCCUGAGGCAGUCACAAAGGCCGGCUUUAAAUAGCUCCUCGUGGGCACAGGCAGGAAAAAGAGGGCAGCCUGGUGGAGGGUAGGCAGAGGCAGCAGAGGGGCUCAGCCAC